CGAUUGUGAAUUGAACAGUAGAUUUCAGCAAAUUGAGAUUUUGAUCUGAAGUGGGUUUUUACGGAAAAUAUGUAAUUUGUUACAUCUACUUCAGACUAAAGUACCAAACGUUUCUGUUACAACAAUGCUUAAAAAUUUGAAGUCGUGCAAUGAUGAAUCAAGGAUAUUUUCUAUUCUAUACGUCCUACAUUACUUGUUUCCACCUUAGGAGCCCAAACCAGAAAAAAGUUUACCGUUACAGAUUCCCAUAAUUCGUUUGCCACAGUUGCAGAAACUAAAGAGAAG